UAAAGUCGAACAACCUCCAGGCCGUUGCACGCAUUGCGAGGACAGGAAGCCCAAUCACGAAAGUAACUUUAGAACCUCUCGAUCCACGAAAGCUGAGAAACAAACUGGGAUUAGAUACCCCACUAUGCUCAGCCCUAAACCAAGAUGCCUCAAUUACAGUUGCAUCCGCCAGGGAACUACGAGCGCCAGCUUGAAACCCAAAGGACUUGGCGGUUUCUCAGACCCACCUAGAGGAGCCUGUUCUGUAACCGAUGAUCCCCGUUAAACCUCACCACUCCUUGUCACCACAGCCUAUAUACCGCCGUCGCAAGCUCACCCUGUGAAGGAAUAAAAGUAAGCAAAAUGGGUCUCACCCAAGAACGUCAGGUCGAGGUGUAGCUUACGGAGUGGAAAGAAAUGGGCUACAUUUUCUAUCCCAGAAAACUACGAACGGCACUGUGAAAUCAGUGCCCGAAGGAGGAUUUAGCAGUAAAAAUCAAAUAGAGCGUGAUUUUGAAGCAGGCUCUGAGAAGCGUACACACCGCCCGUCGCUC
rnacentral:rRNA from 1 species